rnacentral:rRNA from 1 species
GUGCCAGCCGCCGCGGUAAUACGUAGGGGGCUAGCGUUAUCCGGAUUUACUGGGCGUAAAGGGUGCGUAGGUGGUUUCUUAAGUCAGGAGUGAAAGGCUACGGCUUAACCGUAGUAAGCUCUUGAAACUGGGAAACUUGAGUGCAGGAGAGGAAAGUGGAAUUCCUAGUGUAGCGGUGAAAUGCGUAGAUAUUAGGAGGAACACCAGUAGCGAAGGCGGCUUUCUGGACUGUAACUGACACUGAGGCACGAAAGCGUGGGGAGCAAACAGGAUUAGAUACCCUCGUAGUCC